UGAAAAGAACUGAGGUGAUCAGAGUGAAAUAGAACCUGAAACCAUUUGCUUACAAUCAUUCAGAGCACUAUGUAGCAAUACAGUGUGAUGGACUGCCUUUUGCAUAAUGAGCCUGCGAGUUGUGGUGUCUGGCAAGGUUAAGCACACGCGAAGCCGUAGCGAAAGCGAGUCUGAAUAGGGCGCUUAAGUCAGAUGCUGCAGACCCGAAACGAAGUGAUCUAUCCAUGAGCAAGUUGAAGCUAGUGUAAGAACUAGUGGAGGACUGAACCCAUAGGCGUUGAAAAGCCCCGGGAUGACUUGUGGAUAGGGGUGAAAGGCCAAUCAAACUUCGUGAUAGCUGGUUCUCUCCGAAAUAUAUUUAGGUAUAGCGUUGUGUCGUAGUAUAAGGGGGUAGAGCACUGAAUGGGCUA
rnacentral:rRNA from 1 species